rnacentral:miRNA from 1 species
AUCAAGAGUUCAUCGUUUUGAC